rnacentral:sRNA from 1 species
AAGUCUGAUCCAUCUCUGUUCAUAUACGCUCACAACAACAACCUGAUUCUACUUCUCCUGUAUGUUGAUGACAUGGUGAUCACU